GCCAGGCAUGGUGGUGCAUGCCUGUAAUCCCAGCUACUCAGGAGGCUGAAGCAGGAGAAUUGCUUGAACCCAGGAGGUGGAGGUUGCAGUGAGCCAAGAUCAUGCCACUGCACUCCAGCCUGGGUGACAGAGCGAGACUCUGCCUCAA
rnacentral:SRP_RNA from 1 species